CUGACAUUUUUGAAGAGUCCAGGUCAGUUAUCUUGUAAAAUAUCACAUAAUCUCGAUUUGUCUAAUUGUUUUCUCAAUAUUAAACAUUUCUGGCAAGAAAACUAUCUAGAUGAUAUAUCCCAUUAUGUCAUGUCUCAUUACUGGUCAUGUGAUGUUAGGUCACUUGAUUAAGGAGGUGUUUGCCAUAUUUCUUUUUCUUUUUAUUAUUAGUAUUAUUUUGAGACAGGGUCUCACUGUGUUGCUGAAGCUGGAGUGCAGUAGUACAGUCAUAGCUCACUGUAACCUAGAACUCCUGGGCUCAAGUGAUCUUCCCACCGCAGCCUCCUGAGUAGCUAGGACUAUAGAGGUGUGCACCACCAUGCCCAGUUAAUUUUUUUUUAAAAUACUGUUUUGUAGAGAUGGGGUCUUGCUGUUGCCCAGGCUGGUCUUGAACUCCUAGCCUCAAGCAAUUAUCCCUCCUAGGCCUCCCAAAGUGGUGGGAUUAUAGGCAUGAGCCACCUCGCCUCGUCCAUUUUACUGUUGUAGAGGACCUUUUCCCUUUGUAAUUAAUACUUUGAGACUGUUAGACCAAUCCGUUGCAUAACAAAGUUUCACCUGAUAGUUUUAGCAUCCGUUUAUUAUCCUUGCCUGAAUUAAUCACCACACUGGGAGUUGUAAAAUAGUAAUUUUCUAAUUCUAAGAUUCAUUCUGCUUUCAUGAGCUGGCAGUUGUUUCUGGAAAUACAUUAUAGAUUCAUUGAUUUAUUUUUAUUAAAUGUGUUAUAAUUCACUGCCAUCAUUCUUCUUUUGAAUGCUUAAAAUUUUCCAAAUCAUCUUGUCAGGGUUCCUUCAGGCUGGCUCCCAUAUGUAUCUUUUGCCAUCCCAGUUGCUGAGCACAUGCCCGCUUUGGCACGUUGUACUUCUGGUCAUUUUUUUUCAAGGAGCCCUGUUUUUUUUAGGAAAAUAUGGUAUUUUAAAACUAGAAUCUGGGUGGCACACUGAUACCUCCAAUGCAAAGCUACCAUCUCAGGAGUCUUCCUCACCUUAUUUCAGUAUUUGUGAAAUAGUGAAAUACAUACUUGAAAGAUCAUCUCCCACAGCAAGAAUCUGGUUCCCACGUGGACACAUGGUGGGAAACACCACACACUUGGGCCUGCUAGAGGGGGGAGUGGGGGGAAGAAAAGCAUCAGGAAAAACAGCUAAUGGAUGCUGGGCUUAAUGCCUAGGUGAUGGGAUAAUCUGUACAGCAAACCACCAUGGCACCCGUUUCCCUGUGUAACAAACCUCCCCAUCCUGCACAUGUACCCCUGAACUUAAAAGCUGAAGAAAAAAAAGGGCAGGAAGCCACACUAAUAGCAAAUUAGAGAUUAACUUAAAGGAUCAGGAAGGGUCCCAGCAGGAAGCAGACUCCAACUCCUGUGAUUGAAUACAGAAUUUCAAUGAAGAAAUUAACAACAAAAAAGAACCUGGUUCCCAAUGACAUUAGUAUAUUGAUUCAUUUGUUCAAACUACAAUACAUAUUAAGCAGUUUCAGAGUUACUACACUGAUAGCAUUGCCCAACAAUUAACCAGGUAAAUAAAGCCUAAUUUUUUCCAUUCUUUUUGUCCCUUGACUAUAUUCCACUAAGCUUAUACAGUCUGAGUACUCUGUUAUAAAGUUAUCUGAAUUCUCUUCUUUGUAUUUAUGUAAUCAAUUUGAUAUAGUGUUUUGAUUAUUAGUUUCUCUUUGUAUAUUCAAUGACAGGAUUUCCUUUGUUUUCAUUAUUUUUAGUUCAUUUUAAUUUUAUAUAAUUGAAUAUGUAAAAUAUUUACAUGGCUCAAAAUCAAAACUAUAUAAAAAGGUACGCUCAGAAAAGUCUCAUUUCCAUACUUAUUUCCUCCACUAAUAUCCACCCACCCCCUAUCAUUUAUUUCUGGUUUAUAGUUCCUGUGCAUCUUUCUGCAAAAAUAAGUGUGUGUGUGUGUGUGUGUGUGUGUGUGUUUGUGCAUGUGUGUGUGUACAUGUGUGGUUAUUUCCCUUUCCAUCUUAAAUACAAGGUAGCACAUUAGAUAUACUUUUUGUGACUCUUUAUUGCCCCUUAAAACAUCCUAGAAAGCAUUUCAUCUUUGUUAAUAGCUAUCUUCCUUUUUAAUUUUUUAAAAAUUGUUUUUAUGGCUGCAUUAUGUAGAUAUACUAUAGCUUAUUCAGCCAGAGUUCUAUGAGUGGACAUAAAGGUUGUUUCCAAAUUUGUUCUAUCUGCAAAUAAUGUAGCGAUGAACAACCUUCUGUACAUAUUCUUUGCUAUUUUGUGGAGGUGUUUCCUCUGGAAUAAUUACUAGAAGUGAGGCCAUUAGGUCAAAGGGUGAAUGCUUACAUAAUUUUGUUAGAUAUUGCCAAUUUUUCCUUCAUAGGGACUGCUGAUCAUCAUUUUUGAAUGACGGUUUAACUAGUAUUGAAUUCUAAGUUGAAGAUAAUACUCUCUUGUGUUUUCAAUUCUAUUGCUGAUGAGAAAUCUGUUGUCAAUGUAACCACUGUUUCUUAGAGGUAUGGCAGAAACUUAUUCUCCAUUUUAUCUUCCCUUCUUUUUCCCAGGCACGUGGCUGACCUGUUUCCCAGGCUCCCCAGAAGUUAGGUAUGGCCGGUGGGGCGUGAGCAGACAUGAGGAAGACCAUUUCUGGCCUAGCUUAUUCCCCACCCACCCACUUCCUGUGGGAAAGCAGGGCAAUUCUGAAACCCAUAUGGGUGCCGUCAGCUGGGUCCCUGAGGGUACAGCCACCCAGUGGCCUGAAAUACCCACCCAGGCCUGCUACACGAGAGAAGCAGCUUUCAGUCCCUCCACCUGGCCUCUCAGGACUUCUUCCAAACCAGGUCUCAAAAUGCCACUUGGUGUUCCUGCUCAGUUGUGGUAUCAGCGAUACUGCGGAUCCAGGCCCUGGGCCAAGAAAGCAGCAUGGCUCAGCUUCUGGUUCUGAAGCUGUGUCUUUGUCUCUGAAACUUCCAGAAGCCCAUUCCUUCCAGCUCCCAGGUGAUGCCAUGCUGCCAGCCGACAGGCCACGCAUGGAGCAAGCCUGAAGAGGACAUUUGUCCUGGAGGGGGAGAACCCGGCGACACAAACAGCAACUGGUUGGUGAGAAUAGAGGUACAUGUUUACUUUUUACACUGUCCUGUAUCUUCCACAAUACAAAUCUGUUGCUUUUGUGAUAAGAAAGAAAACUUUCCAAUGUUGAAAACCUUUGACUCAGUACUUAUUUUUACAGGAAUCCAUCUCAAAUAAUGUGAAAUGGGAUCCAAGGUUUAUGUGCAUUCAAAUUGGAAUGAUGUACAACAUCAAAAAAUGAGCAACAACUUAGUUCUCUAAUAUUUUAAAAGAAUGGCUAAAAAAGCCUAAAAUAGCAUGCAGUCAUUAAAAACAUUUAUAAAGACAUAGGGGAAUACAAUGAUUUUUUAUUUAAAAAAAAUUUUUUAAUAGCUUUAGGUGUACAAGUGGGUUUUGGUUACAUAGAUGAACUGUACAGUGGUAAAGUCUAGGAUUUUAGAGUACUCAUCACCCAGGUAGUGUACAUUGUACCUAAUAGGUUGUUUUUCAUCCCUCAUCCCCUUCCCAUCCUGCCCUUCUGAGUCUCCAUAGUCCAUUAUAUCACUCUGCAUGCCUCUGUGUACCCAUAGCUUAGCUUCCACUUACUUACAAGUGAGAACAUAUGGCAUUUCGUUUUCGAUUCCUGAGUUACUUCACUUAGAAUAAUGGCCUUCAUGGGCAUGGUGGCUCACGCCUGUAAUCCCAGCACUUUGGGAGGCCAAGGCGGGUGGAUCACCUGAGGUCAGGAGUUCGAGACCAGCCUGGCCAACGUGGUGAAACCCUGUCGCUACAAAAAUUACCUGGACAUGAUGGCUGAUGCCUGCAAUCCCAGCUACUCGGGAGGCUGAGGUGGGAGAAUCGCUUGAACCUGGGAGGUGGAGGUUGCAGUGAGCCGACAUUGGGCCACUGCAUUCCAGCUUGGGUGACUGAGCAAGACUUCAUCUCAAAAAAAAAAAAAAAAAAAAGAAUAAUGUCCUUCAGUUCCAUCCAAGUUGCUGCAAAAGACAUUAUUUUGUUCUUUUUAUAGCUGAGCAGUAUUCCAUGGUGUGUUGUGUAUGUGUAUAUGUGAUGUGUAUAUAUGUAUGUGUAUAUGUGAUGUGUAUAUACAUAUAUCACAUAUUCUUUAUCCACUCAUUGGUUGAUGGACACUUAGGUUGAUUCCAUAUCUUUGCAAUUGUGAAUUGUGCUAUGAUAAACAUAUGCAUGCAGGUGUCUUUUUGAUAUCGUCAUAAUGAUAAAUUUUAAUCAAAGUAUAGCAACUAUGUUAAAAUUCUAACAUAAAAUGAAUUGUUUAUAAAAUGUUAAAAUUUUUUAAAUUUAUAAAAAAACAAAGUAAAACAAAAUAAAAAGGAAAUAUACCCAAA